CCUACGGGAGGCAGCAGUAAGGAAUAUUGGACAAUGGGCGCAAGCCUGAUCCAGCCAUGCCGCGUGCAGGAUGAAAGUGCUAUGCACUGUAAACUGCUUUUGUUUGGGAAAAAACCCCUGGUUUCUACCGGGGCUGAUUGUACCAAAAGAAUAAGGGACGGCUAACUUCGUGCCAGCAGCCGCGGUAAUACGAAGGUCCCAAGCGUUAUCCGGAUUUAUUGGGUUUAAAGGGUGCGUAGGCGGACUAUUAAGUCAGUGGUGAAAGCCCCAAGCUUAACUUGGGAACUGCCAUUGAUACUGAUGGUCUUGAGUACAUUUGAGGUGGGCGGAAUGUGUCAUGUAGCGGUGAAAUGCUUAGAUAUGACACAGAACACCGAUUGCGAAGGCAGCUCACUAAACUGUAACUGACGCUGAGGCACGAAAGCGUGGGGAGCAAACAGGAUUAGAUACCCUGGUAGUCCACGCCCUAAACGAUGAUCACUCGAUGUGUGCGAUAUACUGUACGCGUCUGAGCGAAGANAUAAGUAGAUCCACCGUGGGAGGUACGACCGACGAAGGUUAGUAAACGUUAAAAGGUAAAGUUAGUACGGCGUAGAGACGUAGACCGACGGACGACGACGAGGGGAGGAGG
rnacentral:rRNA from 1 species